GGUCCUGGGCGCUGGUAGGGCAGUGUGCUCUGCUCCCUCCUGGAGGAGCCGGCCCAUGCACACGGCACGGGGAGAGGAAAAGCCCAUGAUCAUGAAGUAAUUGUGAAAGUGUUCUUAAUUACUGAAAAUAAGCAAGCCUCCUUGGACAGUCUGCUAACUGAGGUGUUCCAGAGAAGAUAGUGAAAUAGACUUAACUUCAGCCAGGAGAUGUUGGGAUGUCCAGGCACUGGUAUGCAAACACGUGUGGAGCACAGAUGGGGCCUGAGGGAGCACGCUGCUCACCUCAAAGUUGGAAAGCAAGGGGCAGGUAAAGGUGCUGACGGUGGCCAGGCAUGAAGUGCUGCAGCAGGAGAGGGGACAGGUGACAGUGCCCUCCAGCAAUGAAGAAGUCCAUCUGCCACUAACUAGUGAUGCCAUGGAGCAGAGGCUGCCCGAGAGCAGCAGCACAGGGUCCUCGAAGACCAUCAAUUCCCAGGAUGGAGGCCCCCGCCAGGCUGAUCAAAUCUGCAAUUCCGCCUCCCGGAGACACAGAACACAUAGCAAUCAGCCAGAUCGGCCACCGCCACGGUUGGUGGCAAACCCAGGUGGCUCUGGGGCCUGCAGUGAGGCCAGCUGCCUGCCACCUGCUUCCUGCCUCAGUAGCCACAGCGGAAAUAUCACCCCCAGAGGAGGAGCCUGUCACCCAGAUAAGCUCGAGAUAAGCACUGCCACUUGGGCAGGAGCACACACUUUCUAAGAAGUCAUCCCCUGGCCUCUGGUGUUCGCCUGGCAGGCAGAUCAGCAGGCACAGCUGCAGGGGGCCAUGAGCGAUGGGCAAGGGAGCCGCUCCUGACUGGUAACACCCACUCCUCAGGAAGCCAGGGCGCUUCCCGACCAGCAGAGAGAACCCUGUAUCCACCACUGUGUGCAAAUAUUCGGGCAACUUAGGACAAAUCUUUCCCCUGUUGAGAGCAAUAAAAAAAGAUUCCUGC
rnacentral:lncRNA from 1 species